rnacentral:rRNA from 1 species
CGCAUUCGCCCUUCGGGGCGCACCAGGCGCGAAAACUCUACAAUGCAGGCAACUGCGAUAGGGGAACAUCGAGUGCUCAUCAUAUUGGUGGGCUGUCCCACCGUCUAAAAAACGGUGGUUAGCAAGGGCCGGGCAAGACCGGUGCCAGCCGCCGCGGUAAUACCGGCGGCUCGAGUGGUGGCCGAUAUUAUUGAGUCUAAAGGGUCCGUAGCCGGCUUUGCAAGUCUUUUGGGAAAUCCAGCGGCUUAACCGUUGGGCGUCCAAGGGAUACUACAUUGCUUGGGACCGGGAGAGGCGUGAGGUACUCAGGGGGUAGGAGUGAAAUCCUGUAAUCCUUUGGGGACCACCGGUGGCGAAGGCGUCACGCCAGAACAGGUCCGACGGUGAGGGACGAAAGCUAGGGGCACGAACCGGAUUAGAUACCCGGGUAGUCCUAGCCGUAAACGAUGCUCGCUAGGUGUCACAACAAUCGUGAAUUGUUGUGGUGCCGUAGGGAAGCCGUGAAGCGAGCCACUUGGGAAGUACGACCGCAAGGUUGAAACUUAAAGGAAUUGGCGGGGGAGCAC